GAUUCAGAGUCGGGAGUAUAAGAGAAAGAUAAUACAGUAAAGAGAGAGAGAGAGUUAUGGGCUGACCACCAAUCUUUACGGCGGAUUGACGGUGGCGCAACGGCGGUGACAUCACAAUCCGGCGUGUACGCUUCAACAACUCGCUAACCGCAGGACGAGGGUUCCGCCGCAAACACAACCAUAGCGGCGAGUAUGGUUGUUCUUCCGUGACAUUGGAAGCCAAUCCAGCCAAACGAAAUACGUAUUCUAACGAACGAGAUCUAACUCAAUAGAAACACUUUCACUUCACCUUAGACAUUCUUAAUGAAGACAUCGAGCAUCCUGUUGAGCGCUCAAAAACAAGACCACUGCUCAAGAAGUCGACGGCUUCUGGACAACUGGUCUGAAUAGCUUUCUUUCUAUUUCAUAUGUAAAGCUAUUAUUAUUUCGUUUGUAUUUUUUGUUCAUCUUUGUCAAUGAUAUCUAAAAGUGCCCUUGAACAUGUACAUCUAAUCCAAUGUGGGGUCCUGUAAACUUUGUGUGUCCGCAUACCGUGAGGCCGAGUUUGAGACCAUUAUCUAUGGCAUUUUCCAGUCUCAAUUCAUAUGUUUGGUGAUGUGAAUUAACGGUUGGAGGAUGUCCGACUUGAUCCUAAAUUCAAUACUAUUUUUGGCAGUUGGAAUUUGGUUUAUAGGUAUGUUAAAACAGACAAGGUAUUGAUUGAAUAAUGGGUGCCAAUGCCGCAUUUCCUUUUGUUUCAGGUAUUUUUAUUCCGAGUGUGGACAGAUACAAUGAAGACAACGAGCAUCAUGAGCGCUCAAACACAAGACCACUGCUUGAGCGAAUGUCGCCAAACAUACCAGCUUAAAUACAUGUGCUUCAGUUUUGUUAUGGGUGUGGAAGUGCAUAUAUAAACACUCACAUGUGUGCUUCCGUUUAACGUUUUUGUUAGUAGCAAGUUGUUUGCUAAUAAAUUCGGAAAAUCAUUUGGACAACCAUUCGGACAGGUGAAGCAGAUAAAACUCAAAGGACAAAGCGCACUCACUAUGAACAAACGAGUACAAGACAUCCUCCUACACCUUCAAAUUUUUGCAUUACAACCUUUUUGUUUUAGAUAUUCCUUUAUAGAAGGUAUAAAAAAUGCUUAAACGAUGGCCCAUGUUGUUGCAUAUAUAAAAAUUGUAGCUACUGUAACUAAACAUUAGCAAUCUAACAGAACUGAAAUACCCCGCCGCACCGCGGCGGGUCAUCCUCUCUCUAGUAUAAUAACAAUUGCUGAAAGUCCUUAGGAACAGUUCCCGUUCCCAAGUUUCACAUGACCGACAUCUGCCGGUCUUCAACAUACCGCUGAAAACACAAGCCCAUCGUCCUUUUACGUUUUCAGAUUUGCUCAAUCAGGCGGCGUUGGCGGUGCUACUAUUGCGGCAGAAACUAGGAUUUAUGUAGUUGAAGGCGGUGAUGGUGGUUGCCGGCAUCAAAGCAGGUUGACGGCCAUGGGUACAGAAGAGGACUGAGGCAAAUAAGGUAAGUUUUCACGGCUAUGGUUCUCUUAUCCACUAAUUUUAUCGCUUGGGUUUGUUUUGUUACACCUUGAUCAUUAAAUUUGAAAUAUUUGAUGACUCCCUUUUAAUUUAGCAUAUUGUUAGCACUUUCAAUACAUCAUAUGUUGGAGUUACAAACGUAUGGAGAGGAGAAAGAAAAAAAACAAACGUAGUUUUUGUAUCGUAAGUCAUGGAUUUUUGACCUUUACAAAUGAGGAUUAUUGUAUAAGAUUAUACUUCCACUUGCCAAGCCGUAACAUCUGUAAAAAGGAUCUUGAUUCAGACUCUUCUAAUUUAUGAGGUGCUGAAUGUGAAUUUUCACAUAUAACAUGAUCAGUGAGAUUAAUACUUAAACAUAUGAUCAUAUUUGUAAUACGAACUCUUGACAAACCUGCACAUGUAAUUUAACAUCACCUGCUUCUUUGGCAUUUUAAUGUUGUUAGUUGUUCAUGGAAAAGCAGUAGUUAUAUUUGAUAUUUUCCAUCUAUAUCUUCUAGAGUUGUAGGGUAACAUGAAUUAGUUAUUGUUCUGACGAUUUCUUUCCACCAGAAAUCGCUCCUCUGCGGUGACUUCUCCACCACCGACAUCAACUCUCAACUUGAAAUCAUUUGCCGUCGACAUCAACUCUCGACUUCAAAUCGCCUUUUUGCGUAGACUUGACCACCAUUAACAUCAAAAUUGGUAAUCGUUUCUUUUCGUUUGUGCUCUUCACAAUCUUUCCAGCCGGUUCAGUUUUUACCUUUGCAUUUUUUCUUCUUUAAAUAAUUUGUUGAUCCAGAGGUUUCUCUUAUUGGGUUGAAUUGUUGUUCACCAGGUUUAAUUUUUAGGUUUCGUAGAUUGUUUAGGGUUUAGAAUUUAAAAACAUUUUGUGAUUGCUUUUAAAGAAUAAUCAUUGGGUAUAUGUAAAUGGCUGAAGAUACAGGUUGACCUUUAACUUACAAAUUCAACAUAAUGGGUUGAAAUUGAAGGCCAAUUUUUUAA